AAGACACUAGUAAAACUACAAUUACACUGCCUUGUCAAGGCAAGAUUGUGGGUUGAAGCCCCACGUGUCUUA
rnacentral:tRNA from 1 species